GGUGCGUGGCCGAAUGGUUACGCUGUCCGCUUUGUAAGCGGAUGAUUCAGGGUUCGAUUCCCAUCUGCUCCA
rnacentral:tRNA from 1 species